GGGGAUGUCGCUCAGUGGUAGAGCUCAUGCCUGGAAUGCAUGAGGUCUCAGGUUCGAUCCCA
rnacentral:tRNA from 1 species